UCAUAAAAAAAAGUCGUUGGGCAGUGUUGAUUUUUUUAAAUGAAGGAAAAUAAUUGUCUCAUUAUACUCUCUUUGUUUGGUUAAUGUGAGAAAGGAGUUGAGAAUUAGCUUUUAGGACUGUGGAGAGCGUGUCAUGUAUAAAAAGUCGUUGGUCGGGUAGAUUUUAAAAAUAAAAAAGUGUAUACAUGAAAUGGUUGUGUAAUCAAAUUAUGGCCAGUAGAAUUAACUUUCUUAUAUGCGCCGGGUAUUUAGAACCAGAGCAUGGAUAUCUACAACUCGGAAACUGCUCUCGUGGAAAUUAUUUUUCUUCCACUGUAUUGAAGAUCUCUGACCGCAUAUACCCAUGUCACAUAUAACAAUGUUGUUAUUGAGACUUUUUAACGGAUACUUCAAUGUAAAACAGAGUAAGGAGUAUAUGUAAUUGUACAUCGGUUAGCACGCGCCCUUUCUACCCAGUAGUCGCCGUUCAUCAAUAUUUAUAUCAACGCAGUGAAAGUUUACAGGAACGCCAUUGCUUGAGGAUGAUAAGGUUGUUCAGCUGGUGGAGGAAAAGUAGUCGCCAGAUGACGCAACAUCUAGGUUUUAUUGAUUGCCAACCUUCAUCUAUAGAUAUGUCUUACAAAAGAAUUUAUAAUAGAUAUUGAUUCCCCACUUAAUAAAUUUUUACGUGAUCAUUUUCAGUUUACUAAGGCUUUUGAAGGAAUGCGAUAUGACCAGGAAAAACAUUUUUUUAUUAUACGUUGUGUUACAUGAAUAUUAAUCUGGAAAUGCUAUGUAGAUAUGUUGCCUUAUUUACAUCUCACUCGAGUUUGCCAUCAACUCGCUGAACUCAUGAGUUGAAUACAUGAGUAUACUAGAACCAGUUUUAAGAUGGGGCGCCUAAUUACCGAACUGGUCAUCAGGGCUGCGUGUACGCUUCAACUGUGAGCAGAUCCUGAUGUCACGUCAUGUACACAUUACCUCCCAUCUUUUAGGUCUAAUUGGUGACGACAUGUAUGUCAUGACACCCUUCCACAAUGGGCUAAUGUGAAUCAGCUUGUUGAGAAAAAGAGAGGGAAAAGAAAAAAAAAAUCUUUACAUCAGUCAAAAUAUUGAUGCAUUUUCAGAAUUAUUCAUGAGACUUAUAAUUCACAUCCAAACAUACCUGAGCAGAAUUCCACAGUUCAUCAUGUGUUUUUGCUUCUUCCAGUGUUUCCCUUGUGUAAACAUAGGGGCGCUUGUCAUUUCUAGAAUAGUAUAAUAAUAACAAUUAUAAUCAUACCAAUAAUGAGAAAAAGAUACUCAGCACAUAUGUAAAGAAAUAUAAUGAAACAUUUAGUUAUGACAUUAUAAACAGGAUUUUUAAGCAGUUCAAAAAUACACAUGUUACCAUUA
rnacentral:lncRNA from 1 species